UACAGAGGUCCCGAGCGUUGUUCGGAUUUAUUGGGCGUAAAGGGUGCGUAGGCGGCGGAGUAAGUUGGGUGUGAAAUCCCGGGGCUCAACCUCGGAAUGGCAUUCAAUACUGCUUCGCUAGAGUACUGGAGAGGAGGCUGGAAUUUACGGUGUAGCAGUGAAAUGCGUAGAUAUCGUAAGGAAGGCCGGUGGCGAAAGCGAGCCUCUGGACAGUUACUGACGCUGAUGCACGAAGGGCCAAGGGGAGCAAACCGGG
rnacentral:rRNA from 1 species